rnacentral:tRNA from 1 species
GGGACUCUGGCGCAAUUGGCAGCGCAGCGGACUUUUAAUCCGUCGGUUCCGGGUUCGAGUCCCGGGGGUCCCACCA